rnacentral:rRNA from 1 species
UACGUAGGGGGCAAGCGUUAUCCGGAUUCACUGGGUGUAAAGGGGGCGCAGACGGCGAUGCAGGCCAGGAGUGAAAGCCCGGGGCCCAACCCCGGGACUGCUCUUGGAACUGCGUGGCUGGAGUGCAGGAGGGGCAGGCGGAAUUCCUGGUGUAGCGGUGAAAUGCGUAGAUAUCAGGAGGAACACCGGUGGCGAAGGCGGCCUGCUGGACUGCAACUGACGUUGAGGCCCGAAAGCGUGGGGAGCAAACAGG